UGGAAUAAUAAUAUAGGACCUGAGUUCUAUUUUGUUGGUUUCUAGAGCUUGGGUAAUGAUUAAUAGGGACACUUGGGGGCAUUCGUAUUAACGCGUCAGAGGUGAAGUUCUUGGAUUGCGUUACGACGAACUACUGCGAAAGCAUUUGCCAAGGAUGUUUUCAUUGAUCCAGAACGAAAGUGUGGGGAUC
rnacentral:rRNA from 1 species